rnacentral:rRNA from 1 species
CCAAGCUAGUAAGGGCGUGUGGUGGAUGCCUUGGCACUAGGAGGCGAUGAAGGACGUGGCAAGCUGCGAAAAGCCUCGGAGAGUCGCAAGCAGACUUUGAUCCGGGGAUUUCCGAAUGGGGAAACCUGGCAGGGGUAAUGCUCUGUCGUCCCUUACCUGAACACAUAGGGUUUGGGCCGCCAACGGGGAGAAGUGAAACAUCUCAGUACCCCCAGGAAAAGAAAGUAAUAACGACUCCGUUAGUAGCGGCGAGCGAACGCGGAAGAGCCUAAACCAAUGUCAUGUAAGCUCGUGAGCGUUGUGGCAUUGGCGUCGUGGGAGUCACCGUUGCGGGUCACGGACCGCAGGUGGAGUUACCAAGCAUGGAUCUAGUGGAACAAGCUGGAAAGCUUGACCAUAGAGGGUGAAAGUCCCGUACGCGAAAGGUCGCAUGCCUCCACUGGUGGCCACCCGAGUACCGCGGAACACGAGAAAUUCUGUGGGAAUUUGCGAGGACCAUCUCGUAAGGCUAAGUACUCCCUAGUGACCGAUAGCGGACCAGUACCGUGAGGGAAAGGUGAAAAGAACCCCGGUAAGGGGAGUGAAAUAGAACCUGAAACCGCAUGUUUACAAUCGGUGGGAGGACGUUGGCUUCGCGCCUGUCCGACCGCGUACCUUUUGCAUAAUGGGCUGGCUAGUUGUGGUAUGCAGCGAGGUUAAGCUUUUAGGCGAGCCGUAGGGAAACCGAGUCUGAAUAGGGCGUUUAGUUGCAUGCUGCAGACGUGAAGCCGGGUGAUCUAUCCUUGACCAGGGUGAAGCGUGGGUAAAACCACGUGGAGGCCCGAACCAGUGUCGGUUGAAAACGGCUUGGAUGAGUUGGGGAUAGGGGUGAAAGGCCAAUCAAACCCGGGAAUAGCUCGUUCUCCCCGAAAUAGCUUUAGGGCUAGCCUUUGGCGAUGGAUUGCGGAGGUAGAGCACUGGAAGGGCUAGGGGGCCUAUAAGCUUACCGAACCCUACCAAACUCCGAAUGCCGCAUAUCUUAGCCAGGGAGUCAGACUGCGAGGGAUAAGCUCCGUAGUCGAAAGGGAAACAGCCCAGACCGCCAGCUAAGGCCCCUAAGUGCAGGCUAAGUGGAAAAGGAUGUCGAGAUGCACAGACAGCCGGGAGGUUGGCUUAGAAGCAGCCAUCCUUUAAAGAAAGCGUAAUAGCUCACCGGUCGAGUGACUCGGUGCCGAAAAUGUACCGGGGCUAAGCCUGCCGCCGAAGCUGCGGAUUUAUAGGAACUCCGGUUCCUAUGAGUGGUAGGGGAGCGUUCUGUGUUGCUUGAAGUCAGACCGUAAGGACUGGUGGACGGCACAGAAGUGAGACUGCCAGCACGAGUAGCGAUAAAGAGGGUGAGAACCCCUCUCGCCGGAAGUCUAAGGUUUCCUGAGGAAGGUCAGUCCGCUCAGGGUUAGGCGGCCUCUUAGUCGAGGACGAAGGUCGUAGACGAAGAGAAGCAGGUGAAUAUUCCUGCCCCGCCUGAAUAACGUUUGACCGAAGGGGUGACGCAGGAGGGUAGCUCAGCCUGCGAUUGGAAGUGCAGGUUGCAAGCAAGUAGCCGGGGGGACUAGGCAAAUCCGGGCCCCCAUUCCAAACGGUGAGAUGUGAUGCCGAGGUCUUCGGACCGCAAAGUGAGUGAUCCCACGCUGCCAAGAAAAACCUCGUAGGGAGUAAUUCAGGCGACCGUACCGCAAACCGACACAGGUAGACAGGGAGAGAAUCCCAAGGCGAACGAGUUAACACUGGUUAAGGAACUCGGCAAAUUGGCUCCGUAACUUCGGGAGAAGGAGCGCCCCGUUAGCGUGAAGGACCUUGCGUCCGGAGCGUGAGGGGGUCACAGAAACCAGGCCCAGGCGACUGUUUACUAAAAACACAGGUCUCUGCAAAGUCGAAGUCGACGUAUAGGGACUGACGCCUGCCCGGUGCCGGAAGGUUAAGAGGACGGGUUAGCCCUAGGGCGAAGCUCAGAAUUGAAGCCCCGGUAAACGGCGGCCGUAACUAUAACGGUCCUAAGGUAGCGAAAUUCCUUGUCGGGU